rnacentral:tmRNA from 1 species
GGGGCUGAUUCUGGAUUCGACGGGAUUCGCGAAACCCAAGGUGCAUGCCGAGGGGCGGUUGGCCUCGUAAAAAGCCGCAAAAAAAUAGUCGCAAACGACGAAAACUACGCUUUAGCAGCUUAAUAACCUGCUCAGAGCCCUCUCUCCCUAGCCUCCGCUCUUAGGACGGGGAUCAAGAGAGGUCAAACCUAAAAGAGAUCGCGUGGAUGCCCUGCCUGGGGUUGAAGCGUUAAAACUAAUCAGGCUAGUUUGUUAGUGGCGUGUCCGUCCGCAGCUGGCAAGCGAAUGUAAAGACUGGACUAAGCAUGUAGUACCGAGGAUGUAGGAAUUUCGGACGCGGGUUCAACUCCCGCCAGCUCCACCA